CCUACGGGUGGCAGCAGUGGGGAAUAUUGCACAAUGGGGGAAACCCUGAUGCAGCGACGCCGCGUGAGCGAAGAAGUAUUUCGGUAUGUAAAGUUCUAUCAUCAGGGAAGAAAAUGACGGUACCUUAGUAAGAAGCUCCGGCUAAAUACGUGCCAGCAGCCGCGGUAAUACGUAUGGAGCAAGCGUUAUCCGGAUUUACUGGGCGUAAAGGGAGCGGAGGCGGCCUGCAAAGUCUGAUGUGAAAUACCGGGGCUCAACCCCUGGGCUGCAUUGGAAACUGGCAGGCUCGAGUGCCGGAGAGGCAGGCGGAAUUCCUAGUGUAGCGGUGAAAUGCGUAGAUAUUAGGAGGAACACCAGUGGCGAAGGCGGGCUGCUGGACGGUGACUGACGCUGAGGCUCGAAAGCGUGGGGAGCAAACAGGAUUAGAUACCCCUGUAGUC
rnacentral:rRNA from 1 species